rnacentral:lncRNA from 10 species
CUUCCUGCUCGUGCCACCAGGCCCCGGGGCCGCGACGCGUCUCUCCAGCCCGGGAUCCGGGGAGCUGGGCUGUCCCCAGACCGACGGGACAGCGGCAUCUCCUCCACCUGAAAAGGAAAGAGGACCAGUUUGCAGGACUCCGAACUGGGCCCGCGAGAUCUCCACCUGCGCAAAACGAAAGGGCGGAUUCUCCUUGGACUCACGAGGCAACCGCUCCCCGGGGUGAGAACGGGGGACUCAUUCCUCCGGCACUGGGAGAAGACGAUUCUUUAGGAGGAGGACAGGGAAGCGAAUGCUACCCAGAACAGUGCUAGAGAAGCCGUGAGCCAGCUGGCAGAUGUCUCAGUAUACUGGCUCGCGGCACAUCGGGCAAAUGAACCUAUCAGAUAACAACGGCAGAUCAGAUGCCUGAGCAUUCAGAAGCAACAGCUGUGGAGCCCCCGUGGGUUCAGAAGGCCUGGUUCCCGUCUCCAGAAGCCUGGCUCUCCUCCCUCCUGGGCCCACUACUUUGGCUUCUUGUUCCUACGUACAAGGAGUUGCGAAGAAGGCAACUCUUCCCCUCCCUGAAGCCAAAGGAAUGAAACAGACUAGGGCGGGAGAGGUGGCCAUCCGUCAUUAGUUGCGGCCAUCAGUAACAGCAACAGGACACGGAACCUAAGGCUGUAUCCAUCCUGGGCCCCCAGGGAAACAUCAGCGGGAGCGGUACUAAGGAAGUGCUCAUCUCUUAGAGACAAAGGCCCAUGGAGGGGAACAGUAACCAUCCCCUCCCAAUUCAGAAAAUGUUAACAUAAGCACUUCAUUUCUCAUGCAGAUAACCACAUAAGUCUAUUAAUAAGAAAGAAAGAGAAAGAAAAAAAAGAAAAAGGAAUCCAUGCCAGCAGGGUAUAGGAAUUGGUCUAUAGGAGAAAGGGUCACCCACUGAAAGGUGGGCUGAAUAGAAUUCCUUGCCUGGGCUUUGAGGUCCUGGCAUGGAGAAGGCUGUAGAAAUGCUGGCAUCAGUGGAACCCUCAAUAAACAGAAUUCUUGUUAAAGAAUCACAGUCAUUGGUGGAAUGGACUGCCCAUCUAAGGUCAAUCUACACUAAAGGAUGGCAGAGAUC